rnacentral:ribozyme from 1 species
UCCUCCGUCGCUCCCAAGAUCAUUUACACGAAGACUGACGAGGCACCUGCCCUGGCAACCUACUCUCUCCUGCCCAUCAUCCAGGCCUUCACCCGCGCCUCCGGCAUUGCCGUCGAAACCGCUGACAUCUCUGUCGCCGGC